GUCUGUCACCCUUUGGCCUCGUCGUCCUCUGGACGACUUUUCCCCACGUUUGUUUCCCUUCCACAACCCCAAGUCGCCAACCCACCGCGGCGCUGCGGAAUCCACCUGCAACUGCAAGCCCACCAAAUCGAGCGGAGCCCCGACGCCACCAAAUCAGGCGGCCUCGGAGACGGAGAUCCAGCAGGGUCGGGAAGAACCGGGGGAGACACCGUCAGAAGAGGAGGACCAGCAGCAGGCAGGCGGUGGUGGCGAAGUCGUCGGCGCCGGCGGCGGCUGCCGGGGUAUCUGCGAUGAUAACCCGGUCGAAGCUGGUGGAGCAGCUGCGCGACUACCAGAUCCGAUCCCAGCACAAGCGUGACGUUAUCGGAGCUAUAUCAUGGGGCUUGCUGUGUUGUUUUCUGAUAAUAUCUUCGUACAUGACGCUAUACUUCAGGCAUUUCUGGCUUAGUGCUAUUAUUAUCUCACUCGGUAUUCUUCUCCCUGCUGGCCUGUAUAUUUUGAGGCAAAGAAAGCUGGCUAAGAAACGAGAGAGAAGACUAUUGUUGCCCCUCUCUAUGUAAGGUUGUGGGUAGGUUUCUUGUUUUUGCGCCAAUUCUUGUCUUGAUAGAAUCCGCAUUCUUGGCUUGCGGCUUGUCUAAACACAUCCAACAUUUUAUACGUCUCUGGCCCCUAAUACAGAUCCUUAUUCUUCAGUGUUUACCAAAGUUUUACAAGAGAAAUGAUAGUUUUGCGAGUAGACACCAGUUGUGUUGUCAGCUACAAAUUUCAGUUUUUUUUUAAAAAAUUUGUUUGGUCGAUGCCUUCAGCCCAAAGAAACAACUCAACAUGUCAUAAUAUGUUGGGUGUUGCCAUACCUGUGUAUGCAUAUAUUGUUUCGUACUUCUGAUGGAUUUUGUUAGCUGCA